rnacentral:misc_RNA from 1 species
GGAGGGAUAAUCAAAGGAAAUUUUUACUUGUACCUUUUUGCGGGGUACAUACAAACAAACGAUCGCAACUAUUGUCAAUGGGGGGUUUUUUGUUGGGGAGGGAGAAAAAAAGUGCUUGCCUGAUAAAAAAACAUUGGGUUGGAAAAAAAGAAAUACAACUUUCAACAACGGAUCUCUUGGCUCUCACAUCGAUGAAGAACAUAGCAAAGUGUGAAAAUUAAUGUGAAUUGCAGAAUUCAGUGAAUCAUUGAGUCUUUGAACGCAUCUUGCACUCUUUGGUAUUCCAAAGAGUAUGCCUGGUUGAGUAAUGUGAACACACAUACAAGUCAAUCUUUUUUUCUUGGAAAAAGAUUGGAGUUGAGUGGAUUUACCUGGUCUCUUUCUCUCUUGAGAGAAAGACAAGGUUCACUUGAAAUGAAGGGAAUGAAGGAUGACAACAAAACAAGGGGCUUGGAAUUAGUCAAGAGGAGAAAGACAGCAACUCUCUUGUUGAUUUUCUCUCUUUACCUGAGAGUUUUUAACAAGAGGGGGGAACAACGCGUCUAGCUUGAUAAUAACAAUGACUUGAUGAAGGGGGACUGUGUGUGAUUUUUUAUAAAAGGUCUUGUUUAGAGCUUUUCUGCAUUUCCGCGUUGUCAGAACUCUCUGACUGGGUUUUCUUGUAAAACGCAUCCCCUUGAAAGUUUUCUAGUAAUUCCACAACUAGGAAAAAGAAAGAAUUUCUUUCUGUCUACAAAAUUAUCAUUCUCAACUCAGGCAAGACUACCCGCUGAAUUUAAGCAUAUAAAUAAGCGGAGGAAAAGAAACUAACUAGGAUUCCCUCAGUAACUGCGAGUGAAGCGGGAAAAGCUCAAUUUUGAAAUCUACCAAGAGUAGCAUUCUUGGUCGAAUUGUAGUUUCAAGAAAGAAUGACUGAGAGAAGCCGGUUUGGAUGCAAGUUCUUUGGAAUGCGACAUCAGAGAGGGUGACAAUCCCGUCCAUCGUCCAUCCGUUGAUAAGAAUGCUUCUCACCAAAAAGGUCGUCUUUUCCAAGAGUCGAGUUGUUUGGGAUUGCAGCUCAAAAUGGGUGGUAAAUUUCAUCUAAGGCUAAAUAUGGGUGAGAGACCGAUAGCGAACAAGUACCGUGAGGGAAAGAUGAAAAGCACUCUGAAGAGAGAGUGAAAAGUACGUGAAAUUGUUGAAAGGGAAACGCUUGAAACCAGUCAAGGUUUGCUAGAUUUCAGGAGAAUGUGUGUGUUGGGCGAGAUUGGCGUGGAGAUUUGUUUUUGUAUGGACAGACUUUUGCGCCAGCUUUUUAGCUUGAUCAUGCUCUCUGUACGUUUCUAGUAAACAAGUCAGCAUCAGUUUGAUUUUGCGCUUGGGAGAAGGACAAGUAGGAUUUGGUCGGGCUUUUGUUGGGGAUUUUUUUCUCUUGCAAAGGUUUGGAGCCUUGCUUGGCAUAUACCAAGUGUCAGACUGAGGAUUGCAUUACAAGGCAUUGACUUGGAAUAGGCAAUCUUGCGGGGUUGCCCUUGGUAAACAGCUUGCUGAUUGUCAAGGGUUUUUUAACCCCCAAGCCUUGUCAAAUCCAAGCUGGUCUUUGAUUUUGGAUGUUGACGAAAUGGUUUUAAACGACCCGUCUUGAAACACGGACCAAGGAGUCUAACAUGGAUGCAAGUAUUUGGGUGAUUGGAAACCCAUAUGCGCAAUGAAAGUGAGGUCUCUUUUUCCUCGGGAGAAGAGAAAUAGGUAGGAUGCCCUUGUGUAGCGAUAUAUGUGGGGGCUGCACUAUCGACCAAUCUUGACUAGCCUCGGCUUGAUAGAUUUGAGUGAGAGCAUGUAUGUUGGGACCCGAAAGAUGGUGAACUAUGCCUGAAUAGGGUGAAGUCAGACGAAAGUCUGAUGGAAGCUCGUAGCGAUUCUGACGUGCAAAUCGAUCGUCAAAUUUGGGUAUAGGGGCGAAAGACUAAUCGAACCAUCUAGUAGCUGGUUCCUGC